rnacentral:lncRNA from 1 species
GCUCUCACCCAUGGCGUUUGCUGGUUAUGAGAUUUGCGGAACGUGUGGUGGUGGUAAAGGGCACCAACUGUUGUCAACCUGCAUGUGGGGGUCUGAGGUCUGGCUCUACAGCUUGUAAAAUGGAAAUAAUAAUGCCCAGAGGAUGAAAUUAGGCCACAUAGGCCGCUUGGCAUCAUAACCCUGCACUCAUUGGAUCAGCUGACUACCUAGACCAGUAACCUGGCUCAAUCAGUUCUGCCAUUCCACCCAGGAACAGAAAACAGCAAGAAAACCUCACUUUGACUCCCUGUGAUUCCGUCUUCAACCUGACCAAUCAGCACUCCCCGCUUCCCAAGCUCCUACUCGCCAAAUUAUCUUUAAGAACUCUGAUCCUCAAAUGCUCAGGGAGACUAAUUUGUGUAAUAAUAAAACUCUGGUCUCCCACACAGCUGGCUCUGCGUGAAUUACUCUUUCUCCAUUGCAAUUCCCUGGUCUUGAUAAAUCAGCUUUGUCAAGGCAGCAGGCAGGGUGAACCCACUGAGCGCUGACAUUGUGUGCCAAGCCAUGUUCUUGGGUCUGGAAAUAGAGCAGUGAACAAAAGUGUUUGUUCUCAUAUUAUUGACAGUAAAUAUCAGUUAUUCUGAGGCACAGAGUGGUUUAUUCACUGAAAAAUUUGCACUUUAGGCUGUGCUGGAAACUAUAUAUUAGGCAUUGAGCAUGCUUUACUAAACAAGCAGAUUGUUCUUGUCCUCUGUUUUGUUUUGUGACAGUCUUGCUCUGUCUCCAGGCCGGAGUGCAGUGGCCCAAUCUUGGCUCACUGCAACUUCCGCCUCCUGGUUUCAAGCGAUUCUUAUGCCUCAGACUCCCGAGUAGCUGGGAUUACAGGCAUGCGCCACCACCCCAGCUAAUCUUUGUAUGUUUGGUAUAGACAGGGUUUCACUAUAUUGGCCAGGAUGGUCUUGAUCUCCUGACGUUGUGAUCCGCCCCCCUUGGCCUCCCAAAGUGCUGGGAUUACAGGUGUGAGCCACUGCGCCCAGCCUGUUUUGUUUUAGAGACGAUUUUGCUAUGUUGCUCAGGCUGGGCUCAAGUGGUCCUCCUACCUCAGUAGGAGUAGCUGGGUAGUUGAGUAGCUAGGGCUACAGGUAUGUGCCCCCACAUCUGGCUAAUUUUUUGUAGAGGUGAGGUCUCCCUGUGUUGCCCAGGGUGGUCUCAAAUUCCUCCCACCUUAGCCUUCCAAAUUGCUGAGAUUACAGGUGUGAAGCCACCACACCUGACCUAUCAGUUUAUAGUCAGUGGUUAAGUGUGAUCCUCAGAUCAGCAGUAUCAGUAACACCUGGAAACUUGCUUGAAAUGCAAAUUUCAGACCCGCUUUACAUAGAUAAGAGCCAGAAAUUCUGGAGGUGGGGCCCAGCAAGCUAUGGUUUAAGGCCCUCCAGGUGAUUCCAUUGCUGAUUGAGAACCACUAGUCUAGAUGAAUAAUUUGCCAAAUUCAACUAAGAUAUGUUGAGCACCUGACCUAAACUGGUCCUCUGCUAAGCAUUUUCACAUGAUUCAUCCCACUUGACUCAUAUCGAUAUAGGAAAGUAAAUAUCCUCUGUCUUGCUUAAGGUUGCACCCACUAGGGCCGGGCAUGGUGGCUCAUGCCUGUAAUCCUAGCACUUUGGGAGGCCGAGACAGGCGGAUCACCUGAAGUCAGGAGUUUGAGAGCAGCCUGGCCAACCCUGUCUCUGCUAAAAAUACAAAAAUUAGCUGGAUGUCGUGGCACAUGCCUGUAAUCCCAACUACUCAGGAGGCUGAGGAAGGAGAAUCGCUUGAACCCAGGGGACGGAGGUUGCAGUGAACCAAGAUUGCACCACUGCACUCCAGCCUGGGACACAGGGCAACACUCCAUCUUAAAAAAAAGGUUGCACCCCUGAUAAGUGGUAGAUCCUAGAUUCAGUUUCUUUCUUCCCCCUCCCCCCACCUUUUUUUUUUUCUAUUUGAGACAAGGUCUCUGUCACCCAGGCUGGAGUGCAGUAGCAUGAUCUUGGCUCACUUCACCCUCUGCCUCCCAGGCUCAAGUGAUCCUCCCCACUCAGCCUCCCUAGUAGCUGGGACUACAGGCAUGUGCCACCACUCUUAGCUAACUAAGUUUUGUAUUUUUGUAGAGAUGGGGUUUCACCAUGUUACCCAGGCUGGUCUCAAACUCCUGGGCUCAAGCAAUCUGCCCGCCUUGGCCUUCCAAAGUGCUGGGAUUACAGGCAUAAGCCACCAUGCCCGGACCAUAGUUCAUAGUUUCUUUCUUUUUUUUGUUUUUUGAGAGUCUCACUCUCAAAAGGGGUAUGGGGCGGCUCCAGGGCCAGGGAUGGGACGGCCACAGUUGCGGCAGCUCCAGGACGAGCAAGUGGAUCCCGGGAAGCGCUGUGAGCUCCCGAGCCAGCCGGGAGGACGCUUACUACAGCUGCUCAGAAGCACUGCUGGAAGCUCAGAUGUGGGCGCCCCAGCCAGAAACCUAGAGGGGUACAGGGAAACUACCGAGAAGCCCCUCCUGAUGCCCCAGGGAGCAAGCCAACUCCUUCCAGGCUCCAGGAACACCACAAAGCAAUAUGAAACCUGUUCAUGAGAGGAGUCAGGAAUGCCUUCCACCAAAGAAACGAGACCUCCCCACAACCAGCUGCUCCACUAACCACACACCCUCCAGUGAUGCCUCUGAAUGGUCCCCAGGGGUUGUGGUGGCUGGGCAGAGCCAGAGUCCGCCUCGGGGUGAUGGAGCUGUGGCCAUCACCGGUCUGACAGUGGACCAGUAUGGCAUGCUGUAUAAGGUGGCUGUGCCGCCUGCCACCUUCUCACCAACUGGACUCCCAUCUGUGUGAAUAUGAGCCCCUUGCCCCCAGAAAAAAAAAUUUCAUGUACAGUUGAUUAAAGGGAAUGCUCCAUGGCUACUAGGAAUGAUGAAAAUGGGUUGGGCACGGUGGCUCACGCCUGUAAUCCCAGCACUUUGGUAGGCCGAGGUGGGCAGAUAACCUGAGGUCGGGAGUUUGAGACCAGCCUGACCAACAUGGAGAAACCCCAUGUCUUCUAAAAAUACAAAAUUAGCCGAGCGUGGUGGCUCAUGCCUGUAAUCCCAGCUACUCAGGAGGCUGAGGCAGGAGAGUCACGUGAACCUGGGAGGCGGAUGUUGCAGUGAGCCGGGAUCGUGACGUAACACCCUAGCCUGGGCAACAAGUGCAAAACUCCAUCUCAAAAAGAAAGAAUGAUGAAAAUGUCUGGGCAUAGUGCCUCACACCUGUAAUCCCAGCACUUUGGGAACUGAGAUGGGAGGAUUGCUUGAGUCCAGGAGUUCAAAAACAUAAUGAGACUUGUUUCUCCAAAAAAGAAAAAAAAAAGUUAUAGUUAUUAUUUAUUUAUUUUUGAGUCAGGGUCUUGCUCUGUCACCCAGGCUGGAUUUCAGUGGCAUGAUCUUGACUCACUGCACCCUCCACCUCUUGGGCUCAAGUGAUUCUCCUGCCUCAGCCUCUCAAGUAACUGGGAUUACAGGCACCUGCCAUCAUGCCCAGCUAAUUUUUGUAUUUUUAGUAGAGACGGAGUUUUACCAUGUUGGCCAGGAUGGUCUCAAACUCCUGACCCCAAGUGAUCUGCCUGCCUUGGCCUUCCAAAGUGCUGAGAUUAUAGGUGUGAGCUGCUGCGCCAGGCCAAAAAAAAAAAUUUUUUUUAAACUUAGCUGGGUUAGUCAGGAGGCCAAGAUGGGAGGAUCCCUUGAACCGAGGAGCUUGAGGCUGCAGUGACCUGUCAUUAGGCCACUGCACUCCCGUCUGGGCAACAGAGUGAGAUGCUGUCUCAGGAAAAAAAUAUUUUAAAAAAGUGAUGAAAAUGUAAUAUGUCAUUAGGGAACAUGUCCUAAUAAUGUAAUAACAUAUAUAUGUAGAAUAAGUUCAUUUUUAUAAAGCAAGUAUAUAAUUGUAUAAGAGUACAAAAAAAUGGCCAGGCAUAGUGGCUCAUGCUUUUAAUCCCAGCAUUUUUGGAGGCCAAGGUGGGUGAAUCACCAGAGGUCAGGAGUUCGAGACCAACUUGGUCAACUUAGUGAAACUUCGUCUCUACUGAAAAUACAAAAAAAUUUAGCUGGGUGGGCAUGGUGGCAGGUGCCUGUAAUUCCAGGUACUUGGGAGGCUGAGGUGGGAGAAUUGUUUGAACCCGGGAGGCAGAGGAUACAAUGAGCCAAGUUCGUGCCACUGGAUGUUAGCCUGGGUGACAGAAAAAAAAAAAAAGACAAAAAAAAAAAAAAGAAUAAACCUGGUAUCAUAUAUGUAGCACACAUAUUACCAGUGAUCAUCUUUGUGAUUCUAUGGGAAUAUGGGAAAUCCUCAUUUUCUACAUUACAUAUUUACAUGAUGCUUGAAUUGAAGAGAAAACCAAUACGGAUAUUUUUUAAAUUGUGGUUGUGGAGGGCAAUACUAACUUAUUCAAGAUUAUUCCUAGUAAAGGGCUACUCAAAAUUUACUGGUUUGAAAACUUUGUUAUCACCUGAUAAUUGAGAGCAUUUGGGAACUCUUACAGCAAGUUGAUAUUGCCCAGACUUCCAGAAGUGUCAUCAGUAGAUGGUUCUUGUUGAACAGGGUAUAGACCGCCUUGGGUUACUGAACUUGCAUGGCUAGUUGCAUGUAAACUAGUCACAUGCAGUAAAACCACAUACCACACCAGGCGCAGUGGCUCAAACUUGUAAUCCCAGCACUUUAGAAGGUGGAAGCAGGUGGAUCACCUGAGGUCAGAAGUUCAAAACCAGCCUGGCCAACAUGGUGAAAACCCUUUUCUACUAAAAAUACAAAAGUUAGCCAGGUGUGGUGGCACAUGUCUGUAAUUCUGGCUAUUUGGGAGGCUGAGGUGAGAGAAUUGCUUGAACCUGGGAGGCAGAGGUUUCAGUGAGCCGAGAUUGUGCCACUGCACUCCAGGCUGAGUGACAGAGUGUGUCUCCAUCUCAAAAAAAAAAAAAAAAACACAAAAAAAAGGAUGCCAAAUCAAACAUAACAUUUUAGAAAUCUAUCAUAGGAUAGCCAGGCACGGUGGCUCAUGCCUGUAAUCCCAAAUCCCAGCACUUUGAGAGGCUGAGGCAGGCAGAUUAUGAGGUCAGGAGAUCAAGACCAUCCUGCCCAACAUGGUGAAACCCCGUCUCUACUAAAAAUACAAAAAUUAGCCUGGUGCAGUGGUGGGUGCCUGUAGUCCUAGCUACUCAGGAGACUAAGGCAGGAGAAUCACUUGAACCCGGGAGGUGCAGGUUGCAGUGAGCCAAGAUCACCCAGCCUGGGCAGCAAGAGCGAAAACUCUGUCUCCAAAAAAAAAAAAAAAAAAAAAUCUAUCAUAGGAUUAUAUGAGGAGACCAAUUUUAUUUAUAUAGGAACUAUCUGUCUUUUUACUAGAUCUCUGAGCUCUGGGCAGAGCCCACACUGAUUCCUGGGAUCUCCAAAAAGGGAGCAUUAUUACGAGGCUAGAAUAUGUGAUGCUUUUUCAGUGCACUUAAAAAAUUUUUUUAAAUGAAGACACUUCUGUGUCCGGAAUUGGUGGGUUCUUCGUCUCACUGACUUCAAGAAUGAAGCUGCAGACCUUCGCGAUGAGUGUUAGAGCUCAUAAAGGCAGUGCGGACCCAAAGAGUGAGCAGCAGCAAGAUUUAUUGCAAAGCGCAAAAAAACAAAGCCUCCACAGUGUGGAAGGGGACCUGAGCUGGUUGCUGCCCCUGGCUGGGGCAGCCUGCUUUUAUUCCCUUAUCUGACCCUAUCUCCUAUUACAAAUAGUAGGAGGCCGGGCAUAGUGGCUCACGCCUGUAAUCCCAGCACUUUGGGAUUCUGAGAUGGGUGGAUCACCUGAGGUCAAGAGUUCAAGACCAGCCUGAUCAACAUGGCAAAACCCCAUCUCUAUAAAAAUACGAAAAUUAGCUGGGCAUGGUGGCACAUGCCUAUAGUCUCAGCUACUCGGGAGGCUUAGACAAGAGAAUUGCUUGAACCCGGGAGGUGGAGGAGAUCGCACCACUACACUCCAAUCUUGGCGACAGAGCAAGACUCUGUCUCAAAAAAAAAAAAAAAAGAUUUUUUUAGAUGUUCCCACUUUAUACCAAAAUCUAUGUGGCCACACAAUAAAGCCCUUCUUUGCUAGCUCCAUGGUGAACCUCCUUGUGAUCUUUUCCAAUUCAUUAUCCUGUAAAAUAAGAAAACAAUAAAAAUAAGAUAUAAAAAUCGCUUGAGAUUAUAGCUAGCAUCUUAUUUUCUAUUUAUAGUACAUUCUCAUAUGUCUUCUCUUGUAAUCCUUAGAACAACUCAUAAAGUAGGCAUUGCCAUUUUAAAGGUGAGGAAAUAAGGGAUCAAAAAAGUAGAUUAUAAAAACAGGAUAGUAGAACUAGGACUCAAAUUCCCAUUCUAUUAAUUCCCCACUGAAAAAUAUACUAAGUCUUUUUUUUUUUUUUUUUUUUUGAGAUGGAGUCUUGCUCUCUCGCCCAGGCUGGAGUGCAGUGGCGCGAUCUCGGCUCACUGCAAGCUCCGCCUCCCGGGUUCACGCCAUUCUCUUGCCUCAGCCUCCCGAGCAGCUGGGACUACAGGUGCCCGCCACCACACCCAGGUACUUUUUUUUUUUUGUAUUUUUUAGUACAGACGGGGUUUCACCAUGUUAGCCAGGAUGGUCUCGAUCUCCUGACCUCGUGAUCUGCCCGCCUUGGCCUCCCAAAGUGCUGGGAUUACAGGCGUGAGCCACCACGCCUGGCCUACUAAAUCUUAAUUAAGAUUAAUUGAAAUAUAAUUAUAUUCCAUGUAAAUGGUGAAUUUUAAAGAGAAUAAAAAUCAUACGCGUUUAUGUUUGUAUACAGAUAAUUUAGUAUUAUGUAAAGCAUUGUGACAACCAGUUUGAAUUUGCUUGGAACUGACAGGAUAAAAAGUAAGGUUUUUAUAGGCUUAGUUAAGAUAUUUGUCUAGAAUGAAAUCCUGACUUAAAAACUUCAGAUCACAGUAAUACUUUUUUUCUUUUUGAGACAGAGUCUUUCUCUGUUGCCGAGGGUGGAGUACAGCAGUGAAAUCUCGGCUCACUGCAACCUCUGCCUCCUGAGUUCAAGCAAUUCUCAUGCCUGAGCCUCCCAAGUAGCUGGGAUUACAGGUGCGCACCACUACGCCUGAUUAAUUAGAUCACAGUAAUUCUUAAAUAUGGGUUUAAGUGUCUAACAAUAUGAAAAUAUUAAUUACCUUUUUAAUAAGUAAGAACAUAAUAAUACAAAAAGCAAAAAAAUAAUACAAGACUCAUAAAAACAAAACCAAACAAAACAAAAUGAUAAAGGAUAUAGAUAUUAAGUAGGUGACCUUUAUAUGGCAAAACACUCAAUGAGUUAAUUCUUUACUUUUUUCAUUCCAUUUGAAAAGCAAUGGGGACCAUUGAUCUCACUGAUAUGGGGGAUACAGAGAAGCCCAGUAAUUUCAAGUCCUUCAUAAAUGCACUGUGUGCACAAAUAUCACUUUGAGGCCGGGUGCGGUGGCUCAUGCCUGUAAUCCCAGCACUCUGGGAGGCCAAGGCGGGCAGAUCACCUGAGGUCAGGAGUUCAAGACCAGCCUGGCCAACAUGCUGAUACCGCCUCCCCUACUAAAAAUACAAAAAUUAGUUGGGCAUGGUGGCAUGCACCUGUAAUCCUAGUUACUGAAUCAAGGAGAAUCGCUUGAAUCCGGGAGACGGAAGUUGCAGUGAGCCGAGAUUGCACCAUUGCACUCCAGCCUGGGCGACAGAGCAAGACUCUGUCUCAGAAAAACAAAAACAACAACAAAAAAAAACAAGUAUCACUCUCAUAUUUACAGUAUAGUUCUUGGGAUUGAUCUUAACACCAGCUUUAGCACCCCCAAAUGGCACAUCUGAAAGACAAGGCUGAUGGUUGUUAUUCCAUAUAAAGGUUAAAAAAGUAAAAUGACAGAAAAUGCCACACAAUAUUAGAAAAACGUGUGAUGCUUUAAGCUUGAAUUUCUGAAAGUUCAAGAAAUAAACCUACCAUAGUUUUCUAAACUGUACUUUAAACAACAUUUUAUUGAACAGAAAUUGUUCAAUAAAAUUGGCUAGCCAAGUUCUAAUAUAUAUAUUUUAUAUAAUUAAUAAUAAUUAACCAAUAAUAAUAAAUACUUCAACCUCUAAUCCAUAGAUUGCAAAUACAAUGAUAGCUUAUUUUCUUGGGGAACAGCAGUUGGUGGGGACAGAGGGAAUGGGAAAAGGACUUUUGCUGAAAGGAGGGAUGACAGGAACACAAGGCUAUGGGUGAAAAGAAGAACAAAUAGAACAAACAGCAGAGAGGGCAGCUGGCCGGGGUGGGGUGGGCGCCUCCCUGGCCUUGCUCCAGGACUCAGGACUGGGUCCUGCCUGGGCCACCCCUCCUGCCAAGGCCCUGGCCUCUUCCCAGGGUGACUGGUCCACUCCUAGACCCUAGAACAUCUGAAGGGCAGGGGUCCCAAUGGCCUGAGAGGGUAUGGGCCAGGGGCAGCAGGCUGACCCACCUGGGCCCAAAAGCCACCUGUGUUUGGGGGCCGGCAUGCUGUCUAGAGAGAGUGCCCUGGGAAAGGGGCACACGGGAGUUUCUCUCCUGAGAAGCCCCCAUGCAGGUCGGGGCAAAGGAGAGGGCUUUAUCUGCCUUGAGGGCAGCGCUCCCUAAGUGAAGCAGGCCUACCCCAGAAGCACAGGGACUUGGCUGGCGCCUGAACUUCCUGUGCGAAGCAGCACCUGCUCUUGGAGCCCCUUAGCCUGCUGGUGCACACCUGGUUUCCAAGUCCUGCCUGGGGACUUGCUAGGUGGGGGACGGACCUGGAACAGGACCCUAAGCCCACCCCCUCCGCAUACCUGGCGGUCCAGGGCUCCCCGCCCAGUGGAGCCAGCACAGGCUAGCCAGGCCCCACUCCUGCGUCACCCCCGGAGGCCAAGCUCCUCUCCUGCACUGGUGCCGUCCUGCCUGGCAGGUAGUUCUGGGGGCAGGGUCAAAGGAGAAGGGAGGGCCGCAGCCCUCUGGGAAUGGCCUUUCUGAGCCACCAGUGGCUGGACUGGGGCUCUGGCAGGAGUUGGGGACAUUAACAACACCCCCAUCCUCCCCUGGGCUCCACCUCAUCUGACGCUCCAGAACCCCCUGCCCCAAGCCCCUACACACUCUGUUCUAUUCCUCAGCCCCUCUCAACGUCCUGGCACCAUGGGGCCCAAUGCCUGUCCUCCCUUGAGAAGGAACAGCUCUGGGGCAACGGGCAGCGGGGUGCCCUCCCUGCCACCAAGAUUUGGUGCCUGGAGCUGGUGGAGGGCUGGCCGCAUCUCUCUGGCACACCAGCUCCUGCUCCCCCAACCUAUGGCUUUGGGGCAGAGCCUGAAGGGAGGAAGAAGGUGGGGGGGGGGGUCCGCGGCUGUUUGUGGCAAAUAAGCUUUUUUUUUUUCCUUUUUUAAUCCUUUUUCUUAUGUAAAAAGUGCACAAAAGCUCGGCAGCCUUUGCAAGUGUCAGCAGUGUUUCCUGGGGUGGGGGAACUGGGAGGGGCACCAGGCCUGGCACCCACCUUGCGACUGAAGGUGGCCUCGUAUUGCUUAGAAAGGUAUGUUUCAGUUUAAAUACCAGACAGUAAAAAUAGAGCUCGAGGACCACCUGCACUGUUGCCAAAUCAUUGCCAGAAUGAAUAGCUUAAAUAAAUAAAAAAUAGAAAUAUUUACUUCUCAAUAAAAAUAAAAGUAAAACCAUUUACCUUUCUUUGCAUUAUAUAUAAUAUAUAUUUAUAACGGGUCUGGCUGUGGGCAGCGGAGCUAAGGGCAGCGGAGGGGUCAGGACAUCUCGAUGACCUCCACGCUGCCCGAGAAGCUCGCCUGCUUGCCCAUGGCGGCCAGCUCCUCGCCGCGAGUGCGCCCCUCCAGGAUGCCCUCCUCGAACUCCAUCUGGCAGCUGCAGCGCUUGAUCUGCGUCUCCGUCUCCGGGGCGGCUCGUCGGGCCAGUUGGUCCGCGCGUCCCGGGGCUCAGCCCUUGCUGCCUCCGGCCGCCGCAGGUCGCUGCCGCCGCCCCGUCUCGGGGCGCCCGCCUGGCCAAAGGGCGCGAACAGCACCCCGCCCGCCCCCUGCGCGCCCUCGGGGCUGAAGCACUAGGGCCCGUCGGGCGACGGCGUGCCCGGGGAGUCAAGCGGUGGCGCCCAGACUCCGGGGCCGGCUGGCCAGGGCCGGGCAGCCUGGGCGCCGACAGGGCCGAGAGGCCGAGGCUGUGCGCGGGGGAGCGGGGAGCCGGCUGGGGGCCUGGGCCGCCCGCAGGGCCGUGGGCGCGCGGCAUCCGGGCUGUCGGGGCUGGGCGAAGGUAGGCUCAGCGUGGCUCCGACGGGCCGUGCAGCUUGCAGAGCUUUGGGACCUCGCCGGGGUCGGGUGACCCGGGGCCGUUGGGCCGCCGGCCGGGGGUGUUCGCUGAUUUGAUGUACAGCGAGAAGGAGCGCUUGAGGCGGUUGGUGUCCUGCAGGCGGUCAGAGGAGAGUACAGGCCGCGCAGCCCUGCUGCAGCGCGCAGGUGUCUGGGGGCGUGGGGGGCAGUGGGGGCUCCCCGCCCGCGCUCAGGCCGCCCUCCCUGGCAGCUGCACUCCCGGUGGCAGCGCUUUCUGAGGUAGGUGGUGGCAGCCAUGGCAGCCGGGCCCCAGCCGCAGGGCUGGGCGGAGGCUCCGGCGUCCCUGAGGGGGUGCCCGCAUCCCCCUGCACGGUGGCCAGCAGCUUCAGGCUGCGCUCCUACUCCAGCAGCUGGCCCAGGAAGUUGAAGUUGGGCGAGAUGGACUGGCGCCUAUCCUUCAUGAACCUGUAGGUGUCGUCGGAGGAUAUGCCCAUGGUCUUCAUGAUGUAGGCGAUGGCGAUGGUGGCAGAGUGGGAGAUACCGACCAGACAGUGGACGAUGACUUGGCAGCUGGACAGCUUGCCUUUACAGAUGAACUCCAUAGACUUGUCCAGCCAGGGCAGCAGCUUUUCACAGUAGUUGUCGUUGAUGGGGACCCGCAUGAAGCGGCUCUCGCAGAUGAAGUCAGGCUUGGGGCAGGAGUUGCUGGCAUUGAGGACGUAGCUUAUUCCAUUCUGUGUCGUCAGAUCCUUGUUCAGAACGUCUUUCUGCGAGCCCAGGUAGAGGUGAGGCAGGAUGAGGGUCAGGCUCACGCUAGGCACGGGCAGGCAGGGCUGGGAGAGGCUCAUGGGUAGCAGGGCAGCAGGCUUGCCCUGGCAGAGGCUGGGGAAGCAGGAGGAGAAGGUGGCGAAGCCCCCCGUGAGGAUGGCCACGCUGUCGAAGCAGCUGUCCAGCUUGCUCAGCAGGAUGGAGAGGAAGCGGUCUGCGGCCAGCACACUGGCGUCCCGUGUGCUCUGGUCAUAGACCACCAUAUCCUGUGGCUCAGUGGCCUCCAUUUGGCUGCGUGUGGCCAGCCAGAUGAACUCUGCAAUGGUCACCUUGCCCUUCUGCAGCCGGCACUUCACCAGCUUGGAGCAGCAGAUGUUGACGGAGCUGAGCACAUGCCAGCUGUUGUACUCCAGGAAGGAGCGGCUGUAGAUGACCAGGCACCCUAGGCCCGCCCCGCAGCAGGCUGGCCAGCUUCUUGGCGUCCAUCAUCUUCCUCGGGAGCCGGUCUCCGGCCAUGGUGGGGCAAUGGGUGGUGGGGAGGGUGACCCCUGACGUGAGGAGGGGUUGCUCGGAUGGCCCAAGUGUGGCCUUGCACUGGGAGUGACCUAGCACAUGGUGCCGGACCUCGUUAGCGCUCGCCUCGGGGGGCGUUCCGGGGGACCCGCGCUGCCCUCGCCAGCUCGGCUGCGCCGACCAUGGGCCCUUUGGCGGGGGCCCGCGCAGCCAAGGCAGGGGCGGGGUCUCUAAUAUAGAGUUAAUCAGUGCUCUUUACAACUUCUAAAAGAUAAUAGCUUAUUUACUAUCCUUCUACUAUAAUUUGGUCUUAUUUAUAGAAUAUGUUGAGGAAUUGAAAACAAAGAUCUAGACUUAAAAUUCAAUAAGCUCCUAUAAAAAAAAUCCCUCACAUAAAAAAAGGCUAUAUAUUAAUUUAGACUAAUUGAAAAAUGAUGCAGGUCUUAAAGAGGACAACUUAAAAAAAAUCAGUUCUGAUAAGGUAUAUUUCUAUAGCAUCUUAACAGUAACCAUGUGAGUAAACAUAUUUCCCCAGAGUUCUCAUUAGGUAGCAAGAAAGGCGAUCACUUACCAACCACUGCACACUUGUAUGUCAUCAGGGAAGCCAAAGUUUUUACUUCAUCUACACUCACAUCAAUGCUGUAAUGGAUAUUUGGUGGUGUUUUUUUUAAAAAUGUGUUGGGGUAGGUGAGAAAGAAGGGGAUAUAUUUAGAACAAACUUCAGUAAGUUUCAAAAAAGAAAGCUACAAAUUGAAAAUAUCCACUUUUUACAUUUUACACCCAAGCUAUGUCCAAAAACACUUGAAGCAGCUCAUAUGUCAGAACACCAUAAAAAAUGAAUAUAAAACGUUUAAAAAACUGCUAAUAACAGUAACUAUGAUUUCACAAGACAAAAAUCACUGUGCAAUGAAUUUUUUUACACUUUCCAGAAGGCUUUUUUAUGUUCCUUUUACCUUUUGGUUUGGGUGACUCCGGGGUGGCCAGGACCAAAUGUGUCUCCUUCUGGCUUUUUGCACCACACCAAGUAACCCGCGCCAGGCCGCACAGCUGCCCUGGCCUUGGGGAGGACUAAGGCAAGGGCGGUGUACGCUGCUCCGGAGUCCCACCGCAGGAGUUGAGGCAGCGAGUUCCGAGGGCGGGGUGGGGCGGAAUCGGGAGGGAUACGGACCCGGUGGAACGCACUGCGUAGACGGCGCCGGCGCCCGCACUCAGCUGUUGACAGUCUUUCUUCCAGCUCUCCCCUGAAAGUCGUCCAGGCGCCGGUCUCUUUUUUCUGCCUUUUUGUUUCCCUCCGGAGAGUCGGCGCGACGGUGAAUUUCCGUUUCCGGUGGUGUCCAAUCCGACCUGAGGAGUCACAGUUGUGAGCAAAUUAGAAUUACUUGUUAUUGGUAAAUAGCCACUAUGGAGACUAAGGACCAGAAGAAACAAAGAAAGAAAAAUAGUGGACCCAAAGCUGCAAAGAAAAAGAAGCGGCAUCUGCAGGAUCUCCAGCUAGGAGACGAAGAAGAUGCCUGGAAGAGAAAUCCCAAAGCUUUUGCAUUUCAGUCUGCUGUGUGGAUGGCUCGAUCCUUUCACAGGACUCAGGAUUUGAAGACAAAAAAGCAUCAUAUUCCAGUGGUUGAUCGAACUCCACUAGAGCCCCCACCAAUAGUGGUAGUGGUGAUGGGGCCUCCAAAGUUGGAAAGAGCACUUUGAUACAAUGCCUCAUUCGGAACUUCACCCGGCAGAAGUUGACCGAGAUCAGAGGCCCUGUGAUGAUCGUGUCAGGUAAAAAGCUCCGACUCACCAUUAUUGAAUGUGGGUGUGACAUUAACAUGAUGAUUGAUCUGGCUGAAGUAGCAGAUCUGGUUGCCAAGCUGUUCUGCCUUUCUGGAAUGGUGCAUGGAGAAUAUCAAAACCAAGAAAUGCACAAUCUGGGCCAUUUUAUUACAGUUAUGAAGUUUAGGCCUCUCACAUGGCAGACUUCUCAUCCUUAUAUCCUGGCAGACAGGGUGGAAGAUUUGACAAACCCAGAGGAUAUCCAAACAAACAUCAGAUGUGACCAGCAGAUGUUACUUUACGGUUAUUUAAGAGGAGCGCACUUGAAAAAUAAAAGCCAAAUUCACAUGCCAGGACGAGGUGGGGCCCACCCAUGAGCUGGUCCAGAGUCUCAUCUCCACCCACUCCACCAUUGAUGCCAAGAUGGCUUCAAGUCGAGUGAUGUUGUUUUCUGAUUCCAAGCCACUUGGGUCAGAGGCUAUAGAUAAUCAAGGUGUCAGAGAUGGCUUUGGAUUCCCCGUUCUGUGUGCUGCUGUCUGGCUCCUGAACCCAGCUGUAGAGGUGUGUCAAUCCCAACUGGUGAAGUACUGAGAGGAAGCUACACAAAAGGCAGCAAAGUAUUAGUGAGUGGUGUCAUUGAGCAAACACGAAGUCGGGCUCAUCCAAGGAUGAGAUUUUGCCAGAGAAAGGACGAGCAGCAAGUCAGGGAGCUUAAGGUAAUUAUGGGAAAGUGACUAUCUACAAUUGCUUAGGUAGAAGGAGACAGAUUGGAUUUUUGUGUGUUUGGUAUUUGGGAUAAGAGGGAUGUGGGUGUGUACUUGACAUGGGUUGUUCUCUCUCUCUCUUUUUUUUUUUUUUUUUUUUGAGAGGGAGUCUCACUCUGUCACCCAGGCUGGAGUUCUGUGGCACAGUCUUGGCUCACUGCAACCUCCGCCUGCCGGGUUCAAGGGAUUCUCCUGCCUCAGCCUCCCAAGUAGCUGGGGUUACAGGUGCCUGCCACCACGCCCUGCUAAUUUUUGUGAUUUUUUUUUUAGUAGAGACGAGGUUUCACUAUGUAGGCAAAGCUGGUCUCGAACUCCUGACCUCAGAUGAUCCACCCGCCUCAGCCUCCCAAAGUGCUGGGAUUACAGGCGUGAGCCACCGCACCUGGCCUGUUUAUUCUCUUAAGAGAGAAAAUGAGGGGAUUAAUGGACUGUAGUUCUGGACAAGGUGGAAAACUCUUAAAGUGGAAGUAUUGGGGCAAGUGCUCUGACAGGCUAGGAUGGUGCAGUCAGUCCCUUCACCCAGAAAUCAGUAGAAUGUUAACAGUUCAGACUCAAACCUUGUGAAAAACAGGUGGUGGAAAGGAAAUCCCUCACAGCAACUGGCACCAUAAUCAAGACAGAAUGUUUGCAGAAUAAAUGGAGUUACCUGCUUUCAGCCCCAGGUUGUAGCUAUUGUCUGCCCUGAUGAUAUGUGAUAAUAAUUUGUGAUCCUAUUGUCUUAAAAUGGGGUCACUCAUCUCCAGUAGAAUUAAGUCCACAGUGAAGUUGUCCCCCCAUCCCCAAAGAGAUAAACAUAUAUGAAUGAACUCACAUGAUAACAACUACUGCUGCCUGGGAUCAUGAGAGACCUGAACUGAACUGAUAGGAAGUGAAAGGUGGCUGAGAUAAUGAGAAUAGACCCAUCUGCAGAGGAUCAUAAAACCAGCAAAGACAAGAUCUUGUCUAAGAUGCCUUCACAAACUUUGUCCAUGAGAACUCUAAGGACUUCUCCAGACCUGUUGGCUGCUGCUGUGAUCUCUGCCCAAGAGGAGCCUCUGACCAACAUCCAAAGGGCUUCUGGACCCACUGGACUCCUCUGGAGUUGCUCCUUCACAUGUUGCCACUCUCUGUGCGGCCACCAUGUAAGUCGGACCUGCCCUUCUGCCAUGAUUGUAAGUUUCCUGAGGCCUCCCCAGCCAUGUGAAACUGAGUCAAUUAAACCUCUUCCCUUUAAAAAUUACCCAACCUCAGGUAUUUCUUUAUAUCAGUGUGAAAACAGAUUGCUAUACUUUCUGAUAAUCAUGCUUAAGCAAUUGGGGAAUUCAGACUACCUGGGAUCAAACCAGGGCCCCACCCUUAGCAGUCAUGUGACCUUGGGGAGGUUACUUACCUUCUCCGUCUCAACAACUUCUGUAAAAUCUGUAACAUGAGAUUGUUUCUGAGGGUUAAAUGAGCAUAGCACAGUGGGGACACUGUCAGGCACACACUACUUGCCAGAUGUCAAGUAUUCAUCUUUAUUGAAAUAGGACUGUGGUAAGCCACUUUAUGGCUCUCGAUUCUGUAUGAGAAAAUCAUGCUUAGUGCCUUGUUAGUAAAAGAAAGAAAAUCUGAAAGUCCCUGCCAUGGAAGGAAGAAAUAGCGGGGAGAAAAGGGAGUUGGUAAGUUUCAGCAUUUCAGAGCUUGGAGGGACAAGUUAGGUUUCUAUUUUAUGGAGAAGGAGGUGGAGGCAGGAUGGGUCCUAAGGUGUCAUUCAAAACACACAGCCAUAACUCUUUAUUGAGAGUAGAGCUAGGGCCGCAGGGAUUGCUGUGGUCACGUUGCGGACAAAAAUGACCACUCGUUGGAAGACAGGAGAGGAGUGUUUAGUUACAAAAGCAGUCAACAAUUCAGGUGUAUCUAUAUUCAGUCAGCAAAUAAAAGUUGUUCAACUUGGUUGCUAAUGGGACCCACUCUACUGAGGCUUUGUAUAGAACUCAUAGAGGAAGAUGGCUUCAAGCAAUGAACUACCCUGUGCUUUUCUUAGGACUAAAAUCUCAGGAAGUUGGUGAUGAAUGAAAACCUUAGUCCCACUGGCACUGCACGAGGGGCCAGGAGAGCAGCAGCAUCAUAAGCCACAGGGUGGGGCAGCCAAGGCAGGGGCAUUCUGAGCUGUUGGGGAGGGGUGGCAGGCAGGGUGGGGCACUGUGAGGUGUCGGGGAGGGCAUUGUGAAGUGUGGGGUGGGGCAUUCUGUGCCACAUGCCUGGGCUCCCACCUGGGGCCAGUGGGCUUCAGUCUGUAGGUGACUACAGAAGGAGGAGGAGCUCCGUCUGUUCUCUCUUCAGGCAGUUGUUGUGUCUCUCAGCGCUUGUUGGGUUCACAACCUAUUAAAUAAGCCAGCUGGUCUUCACCCUCCCAGACAAGUCAACUCAGGGGAGGCAGCAGGGUGUGGGCCUUGACCCGCAGCCCUAGCCGGGGCCGGGGCCGGGGCCAGGGAUGGUGCCCGGGGCCGCGCUGUGAGGUGGGCAGGCGAGGAGCGGGAAGACCAUCUCUGCAAGUGCAGCAUAGCCUCGGCCUAGGACAGUGGGAGUGUGUGGCCAAAGCUGUGAGCAGAGGCACAGGUGGUGGCAGACAGUAGAGGCGCCCCAUGGGGAACAUACUGACCUGUUGUGUGCACCCUAGCGUCAGCCUCGAGUUUGACCAGCAACAGGGGUCGGUGUGUCCCUCUGAAUCUGAGAUCUAUGAGGCAGGAGCUGGGGACAGGAUGGCAGGAGCGCCCAUGGCUGCUGCUGUGCAGCCUGCUGAGGUGACCGUUGAAGUUGGUGAGGACCUCCACAUGCACCACAUUCGUGACCAGGAGAUGCCUGAAGGUAAGGAGGUGAUAGGUGCCAUCUACCCUCGGUUUGCCUCUGGCUGCUGCUGUCCCCAAGGUUCCCUUUACGGCAUCCCCCACUUUGAGCUCCUUUCUGCUUGUAGCCAGCUUUCCCGGGGGCUGGCCAGGAACAAAAGCUGGCUCUGCCUUGAAUUCCCACCCCUUAGUCUUUCCUCACCGAGUCCAGUCAGUUUCUUUUCGCCUCCCCUCCCAAUCGCCCAGUUCUUGCUCUCUCAUCUCAUUCUCCCAGGCUGGCAUGGGACCAUUUAUUUAUGGCUCUUGUCAAAUAAGCAGCAGUUGAAUAAAUGAGUUGAUAAAUUUUUAUAAAUGAUUACAUCUUUUUUCUUUUCUCCCUCUAUACAUAUAGCUUUGGAGUUUAGCCUUUCUGCCAAUCCAGAGGCAAGCACAAUAUUCCAGAGGAACUCUCAAACAGAUGCUUUGGAGUUUAACCCUUCUGCCAAUCCAGAGGCAAGCACAAUAUUCCAGAGGAACUCUCAAACAGAUGUUGUAGAAAUAAGAAGAAGCAACUGUACAAACCAUGUAUCUACUGAGCGUUUCAGUCAACAAUACAGCUCGUGUUCGACAAUAUUCCUUGAUGACAGCACAGCCAGCCAGCAUUAUCUUACAAUGACAAUAAUAUCUGUGACCUUGGAGAUACCUCAUCAUAUCACACAAAGAGAUGCAGAUAGAUCUUUGAGCAUACCUGAUGAACAGUUACACUCAUUUGCGGUUUCCACCGUGCACAUUACGAAGAACAGAAAUGGAGGUGGGAGUUUAAAUAACUAUUCCUCCUCCAUUCCAUCGACUCCCAGCACCAGCCAGGAGGACCCUCAGUUCAGUGUUCCUCCCACUGCCAACACACCCACCCCCGUUUGCAAGCGGUCCAUGCGCUGGUCCAACCUGUUUACAUCUGAGAAAGGGAGUCACCCAGACAAAGAGAGGAAAGCCCCGGAGAAUCAUGCUGACACCAUCGGGAGCGGCAGAGCCAUCCCCAUUAAACAGGGCAUGCUCUUAAAGCGAAGUGGGAAAUGGCUGAAGACAUGGAAAAAGAAAUACGUCACCCUGUGUUCCAAUGGCGUGCUCACCUAUUAUUCAAGCUUAGGUGAUUAUAUGAAGAAUAUUCAUAAAAAAGAGAUUGACCUUCGGACAUCUACCAUCAAAGUCCCAGGAAAGUGGCCAUCCCUAGCCACAUCGGCCUGUGCACCCAUCUCCAGCUCUAAAAGCAAUGGCCUAUCCAAGGACAUGGACACCGGGCUGGGUGACUCCAUAUGCUUCAGCCCCAGUAUCUCCAGCACCACCAGCCCCAAGCUCAACCCGCCCCCCUCUCCUCAUGCCAAUAAAAAGAAACACCUAAAGAAGAAAAGCACCAACAACUUUAUGAUUGUGUCUGCCACUGGCCAAACAUGGCACUUUGAAGCCACGACGUAUGAGGAGCGGGAUGCCUGGGUCCAAGCCAUCCAGAGCCAGAUCCUGGCCAGCCUGCAGUCAUGCGAGAGCAGUAAAAGCAAGUCCCAGCUGACCAGCCAGAGCGAGGCCAUGGCCCUGCAGUCGAUCCAAAACAUGCGUGGGAACGCCCACUGUGUGGACUAUGAGACCCAGAAUCCUAAGUGGGCCAGUUUGAACUUGGGAGUCCUCAUGUGUAUUGAAUGCUCAGGAAUCCACCGCAGUCUUGGCACCCGCCUUUCCCGUGUGCGAUCUCUGGAGCUGGAUGACUGGCCAGUUGAGCUCAGGAAGGUUAUGUCAUCUAUUGGCAAUGACCUAGCCAACAGCAUCUGGGAAGGGAGCAGCCAGGGGCAGACAAAACCCUCAGUAAAGUCCACGAGGGAAGAGAAGGAACGGUGGAUCCGUUCCAAAUAUGAGGAGAAGCUCUUUCUGGCCCCACUACCCUGCACUGAGCUGUCCCUGGGCCAGCACCUGCUGCGGGCCACCGCUGAUGAGGACCUGCAGACAGCCAUCCUGCUGCUGGCACAUGGCUCCCGUGAGGAGGUGAACGAGACCUGUGGGGAGGGAGACGGCUGCACGGCGCUCCAUCUGGCCUGCCGCAAGGGGAAUGUGGUCCUGGCACAGCUCCUGAUCUGGUACGGGGUGGACGUCAUGGCCCGAGAUGCCCACGGGAACACAGCGCUGACCUACGCCCGGCAGGCCUCCAGCCAGGAGUGCAUCAACGUGCUUCUGCAGUACGGCUGCCCCGACGAGUGCGUGUAGUAUCUGUUUUAUUUGACUGCAGUCUCCUUGGUGCAAAAACAAAAUGGGAAAAAUAAGGAUAACUCAGAAUUUCAAAAGGAAAUCACAAAUUCAGCUAGUAAUAGCAUUUUCAGUACUUUUCAUAAACUAAGUAAAUACACAAAAUGUUGAUUUUUCUGACCAUAAGACAUAUUUUAUGUCCUUUUGCCAAGGUGGAUGUGUUAGUCUCAGGCCCUCCUGGCCACAUUGCCCAAGUCACACAGGCUUCUGUAUUAUGUAUUUAGAUAAAAUGUGUGAAAAUAUAUUUGAAAAAAAAGUUCAUAAAUAUGCAUUGAUUUUUGUACACAUGGCACCUCUUUUUCAUUUUUAUUUUUAUUUUUUUUUUGGACGAUGUUUUGCUCUGUUGCCCCAGCUGGAGUGCAGUGGCAUGAUAUCUGCUCACUGCAAGCUCUGCCUCCCGGAUUCACACCAUUCUCCUGCCUCAGCCUCUCAGGUAGCUGGGACUACAGGUGCCUGCCACCACACCUGGCUAAUUUUUUGUAUUUUUAGUAGAGACGUGGUUUCACCAUGUUAGCCAGGAUGGUCUCGAACUCCUGACCUCGUGAUCCACCUGCCUCGGCCUCCCAAAGUGUUGGGAUUACGGGCGUGAGCCACCGUACCCGGCCCAUGGCACCUCUCUUAAUUUAUAAAUUGAACUGGAUGUGAAGUAAUAAUGUCAGCUAGUUGAGAUAAGAGGGUUACAGUUCGGCUGGGCGCAGUGGCUCACACCUGUAAUCCUAGCACUUUGGGAGGCUUAGGCGGACUGAUCACCAGGUCAGGAGAUUGAGACCAUCCUGGCUAACAUCAUGAAACCCCAUCUCUACUAAAAAAUACAAAAAAUUAGCUGGGCAUGGCCGGGCGUGGUGGCUCACACCUGUAAUCCCAGCACUUUGGGAGGCCGAGGCAGGCGGAUCACGAGGUCAGGAGAUCAAGACCAUCCUGGCUAACAUGGUGAAACCCCGUCUCUACUAAAAAUACAAAAAAAAAAAAAAAAAUUAGCCAGGUGUGGUGGCAGGCACCUGUAGUCCCAGCUACUCGGGAGGCUGAGGCAGGAGAAUGGUGUGAACCCAGGAGGCGGAGCUUGCAAUGAGCUGAGAUUGCACCACUGCACUCCAGCCUGGGCAACCAAGCGAGACUCCAUCUCAAAAAAAAAAAAAAAAUUAGCUGGGCAUGGUGGCGGGCACCUGUAGUCCCAGCUACUUGGGAGGCUGAGGCAGGAGAAUGGCAUGAACUCAGGAGGCAAAGCUUGCAGUGAGCAGAGACUGUGCCACUGCACUCCAGCCUGGGCAACAGAGCGAGACUCUGUCUCAAAAAAAAAAAAGAAAAGAAAAAGAGGGUUACAGAUCAUUGCACAUGGAAAAUAUUCCCAGCAGUAAACACUUCCAUUAAUGUGAUCUACAGCUUUUAAAAAGGAGCAUCUCAGAAUAAGAUGGUGGUACAAUUUGCUUAUUGAGAAAGGAAAAAAAAAACACACGAGUAUAUUACAAAGGGAAAAGAAGGAAUGUGAUUUCUCAUGAUUGAAAGCUUGAUUUAGAUUGCAUACAGCUUUUGCUACCCAAGACCAAGCGGCUCUGGCAAGACAGGGUGGUUUUCCGAAUGCCAGACCGAGGUGCCUUAUGAAGGCAGCUGCCGAUGGUUCCAGAUGUAGAGAGAUAGGUGAUGCAGGAGGGAAAGCUGGAUUGGAAAAGGGAGAGUUUUGUAGACCGGCUACACUCAUUGUGCCUUUGAAAGAGCAGAGCCGGCAGCCUCUAGUCAUCAUUUGGAUAUACAGGACUGGAGCAUGAAUCUGAUGUAGAGCUACAGAAUGAAGAGCAACAGCAGCUGUUUAAAUACCGAGAAAGUGUGUAGAAUGAAAUUGGACAAGCCAAGCAUGGUGGUUUCAUGCCUUUAGUCCUAGCUACUUCGGAGGCUGAGGUGGGGGAAUUACUUGAGCUCAGCAGUUUGAGUCCAGCCUGGGCCAGAUGUUGAGACCCUGUAUCUUAAGAAAAGAAAAAAAUAAGACCAGGUACAGUAUCUCAUGCCUGUAAUCCCAGCACUUUGGGAGGCCAAGUUGAGAGGACUGCUCGAGUGUAGGAGUUCAAGACCAGACUGGGCAAUAAAGUGAGACCCAUUUCUUUUUUUUUUUUUUUUAACUUCUUAAAUGCACAAAUUUAUUUUUUCUCAACAAACACACAUCUUAAUGCCUUUACAACUUUUAUCUCCCCAAAUAUAUCUUGCUUUUCUUUAUAUGUGCUGUAUACAGAGUUGUUUUCCUUAUAUUUAGUAGUUAUUGCUUUUUUGUGCCCUUUUGCGUCCUGAAUUUACACAUCAGGCAUAGAUCUUGGGACAGGAAAGAGCUGUGAAGCAAAUUCCUGGAAAAUCAAACCCCUUCCAGCAUGGCCAGGUAGCACAGCUGAGCCAGGGAUGAUGGGGCCAUAUUGGGUUUGGCUCUGCCUUGCAGCUGGCAGUCCAAACACUGAGGACAUGCAUAUUUCUGCAGGCCAGUGAGACCCAUUUCUACCAAAAAAAAAAAAAAAAAAUCAAGAAAUUAGCUGGACAUGGUGGCACAUGCCUGUGGCCCCAGUUACAUGGCAUGGCAGGCUGAGGCAGGAAGAUCACUUGAGCCCAGGAGGUGGAGGCUGCAGUGACCCAUAUACAUGCCACUGCACUCCAGCCUGGGCAACAGAGUGAGACCCUCUCUCAAAAACAGAUAAAGUGGACAGAAAAUAGGUUGGUAAGGACUAAUCAUUUAAGGGACAAGCCCCCAGAAGAGUGGCUACUAGAGUGGGAGGAGGAAAAGCAGAAGGAGAAAGAGUUGAAGACAGGCGAGGCUGUGGUCCCAGUGCUGAAUUCUGCCAAGCAGUGACUUGAUUCAUGAACACUCACUGGAUGCUGACUCUGUUGCUCUUCUGAGUGCUGGGGUAGAGGAGAGGAGAGGUGGAGCCCAGUUCUUGCUUUUAGGAGCUUAUGUUCUAGGAAGUUCAAGUAUUUUUUCAGGUAGUAUGAAAUAGCAGGAAGAGGAAGCAGGCUAAAGGGACACAGAGUGAUUGGGGGCUAUUUUAAGUAGAAUGAUAAGGAAGAGCCUGUCUAGAGAGCUAUUUGAACAAUGACCUGACUGAAGGGACAACAGAAAGCAGUGCUGACAUUACAGGUAGCAGGAUGACUGCCAAGACAGAAACGCAUUUCAUAUGUGUUUGAGGAACAAACAGCAAGGUGACCAGCAUGGGGAGAGUGAAGAAUGAGGGAAACCUUGAAUGAGAGUAAAGCAAUUCCAUCUUGGAGGCUAAUCUGCCAUAUUCUGAUUAAUCCCAGUUCCAAGAAUUCAUCUACAAUUUCUAUUUUAUCUUUUUAAAAAUAUUAUUUUUUAUUUUUUAUUUUUUGAGACAGUCUCACUCUGUCUCCCAGGUUGGACUGCAGUGGCACAAUCUCAGCUCACUGCAAACUUCACCUCCUGGGUUCAAGCGAUUCUCCUGCCUCAGCUUCCCGAGUAACUGGGAUUACAGGCGCCUGCCACCAUGCCUGGCUAAUUUUUGUAUUUUUAGUACAGAUGAGGUUUUACCAUGUUGGCCAGGCUGGUCUGGAACUCCUGACCUCAGGUGAUCCGCCCACCUUGGCCUCCCAAAGAGCUGGGAUUACAGGCGUGAGCCACCGUGUCUGGCCAUACACAUCCCUGCCGAAGCCCGCAUUACCCUUCCCCUAUGCUAUAGAAGCCCUGGGUCGGGGGGGUGGGGGUAAUGGCACAGGGAUCCACCAUCUUAUCUUGGUGCCAUCCCUGACUUGGCUUCUGUUCAUAAACGCCUAUUAAAUGUUUCUUUCUGAGAAACUGGAUUUGUCAGCCUCUUUCUUUGGUAUCUCAGGUUCCUUGGCCUUUGCGGGUAGGUUUAUAUAGACCUGCUCAGCACAGGACAGGCAGUUUCUCAAAAAAUUAAAAAUAGAAUUACCAAAUGAUCCAGCAAUAUCACUUCUGGGUAUAUAGCCAAAAUAAUUGAAAGCAAGGUCUCAUAGAAAUAUUUGUACACUGAUAUUUAUAGCAGUGGUAUUCACACUCAUCAAAAGAUGGAUGCAGCCUAAUUGUCCAUAGGCAGAUGAAUUGAUAAAAUGUGGUAUAUACAUACAAUAAAAUAUUCUUCAGCCUUAAAAAGGAAGGAAAUUCUAACACAUGCUACAACAUGGAUGAACAUUGAGGACAUUAUGCUAAGUGAAAUAAGCCAGUUAGAAAAAGACAAAUACUGUGUUCUUUCACUUAUGUGAAGCAUCCAGACUGAGUAAGCAAACUAAUAGAAACAGAAAGUAGAACGGGGGUUGCCAGGGACAUGGGGAAGGGAGAAAAUGGGAAGUUGCUUAGUGGAUAUAGAGUUUUGGUUUUGUCAGAUGAAAAAGUUCUGGAGAUUGGUUGCAUGGCAAUGUGAAUAUACUCUACAUUACCCAACCCAAGGGCUCUCCUUAACCCCUGUUCCGACUGCCACUUAGAAGUGGUUAAGGUAGUAAAUUUUAUGCAUAUUUUACCACAAUUCAAAAUAGAAUUAUUAUUUUUUUAUUAUAAUUUUUUGAGAUCCCUCACUCUGCUGCCCAGGCUGGAGUGCAAUGGCACCGUCUCGGCUCACUGCAACCUCUGC